UGGAAGGAAGGUGGGGUUUAAAAGAAGGGAGGAAAAUGUCAUUUCUCGGAUAAGAAUAGGUCAUACAGGUCUCAAUCAUACAUUAAGUAUAAUAGGAAAGCAUCCAACCGGAAAGUGUAUACACUGUAGCCAGCCAGAAACUGUUGAGCAUGUUUUACUGCUUUGCAGGAAAUAUAGUACUCAGAGAAAUGUGUUUUUCCAGACACUGAAGAAAGCAAAAUUCCAUGAGUUGUCGCUAUCAGGACUGUUAGGGAAAACAUCAGGCAAUAUAUAUUGUGAGAUUAUUAAGUUUCUAAGAGAAAUUGAUCAAUUUAAAAUAAUCUAGAGUUUUGGUUCUUUGUUUUGUUUCUUUUGUUUAUUGUUUUCUGCUUAGUCUCUUGUCCACACUCCAGUCCAGUUGGUGGCGGUAAUGCACCUACAAGUUGGUUUGCCAACCGCCAA